GAUGAACGCUGGCGGCGUGCCUAAUACAUGCAAGUCGAGCGAACGGACGAGAAGCUUGCUUUUCUGAUGUUAGCGGCGGACGGGUGAGUAACACGUGGAUAACCUACCUAUAAGACUGGGAUAACUUCGGGAAACCGGAGCUAAUACCGGAUAAUAUUUUGAACCGCAUGGUUCAAAAGUGAAAGACGGUCUUGCUGUCACUUAUAGAUGGAUCCGCGCUGCAUUAGCUAGUUGGUAAGGUAACGGCUUACCAAGGCAACGAUGCAUAGCCGACCUGAGAGGGGGACCGGCCACACUGGAACUGAGAAACGGUCCAGACUCCUACGGGAGGAAGCAUUAGGGAAUCUUCCGCAAUGGGCGAAAGCCUGACGGAGCAACGCCGCGUGAGUGAUGAAGGUUUUCGGAUCGUAAACCUCUGUUAUUAGGGAAGAACAAAUGUGUAAGUAACUGUGCACAUCUUGACGGUACCUAAUCAGAAAGCCACGGCUAACUACGUG
rnacentral:rRNA from 1 species